rnacentral:rRNA from 1 species
AGCGAACGCUGGCGGCGUGCUUAACACAUGCAAGUCGAGUGCGCAGUCUGCUGUAGCAAUACAGCAGGCCGGCGCACGGCGCACGGGUGCGUAACACGUGGGCAACCUGCCCUCCAAAGGGGGAUAACCCGCCGAAAGGCGGGCUAAUACCGCAUGACAUUCCGGUGGCUUCGGCCGCCGGAAUCAAAGUCCGCAAGGACGUUGGAGGAGGGGCCCGCGCCCGAUUAGCUUGUUGGCGAGGUAACGGCUCACCAAGGCUUUGAUCGGUAG